GUGACAACUCCUGGGUAGGUAGGCAGGCCUUGGGGACACAGGCAACUGUGGAACCAGGAACAGCGGAGUGUGAGAGACAAGCUGGAGUGGAUAGGAAAGGUUACGGAGGAUUUCUGUCAUGCAAGUCAAGAAGUGGCUGUGUCCUGGGGACAGAGGAGGGCAGGGGCAGUGUGGGGACAGAGUGGGCCAGCACUGAGGCAGUGAGGCCUUUCCUCCCAGGACACUUGGGAGCCAUGUGUAUAGCUGAGCUCCAUUUGUUGGGACUCCACAGAGAGAAACAACACUUGUGGUGGUGGGAUUCAUGCUGCUUCCACGGUCUGAUUGGUCAAGGUCAUGUCAGCUGAGACAGAUGCACAUGCAGAGGCAAGACCCAUGGAGGACAUGUGAUGUUUGAAGGAAGUAUAAACAGGACUCCGCAGACGGUGAUGAGGCUGGGCUUGGCUGGCUGGUAGAGCUUCCUGUGCAAGGCUUGUUGGUCUCUUGUCUUCGCUGAUCUUCACUUUGCUGCAAGAGGCACAGGGUUGAACUUCUCCUGGUGUUCCUCCUGGUCCUUUCUGCUGACUCACACAGAGGUGGAGGCCUGGCUGUCUCUGCUAGGUAGUGCUACCCCUGCUGAUUUGCUAUCCUGACUCUACUGAGCUGGACUGCUGGUGUAUCUGUGAAGUGUUUGCAAGUGGAUCAAGCUGCUGCUGUUAAGCUGUGAACUGAACUACUGAUUUCCAGACAGCAGAGACGGGAGUUGCUCUAAAGAACCAUUUCUAAACAGG